UACGUAGGGUGCAAGCGUUAAUCGGAAUUACUGGGCGUAAAGGGCGCGUAGGCGGCACUGUUAGUCAGGCGUGAAAGUCCUGGGCUCAACCUGGGAACUGCGCUUGAUACGGCAGAGCUAGAGGAUGGAAGAGGCUCGCGGAAUUCCCAGUGUAGAGGUGAAAAUUCGUAGAUAUUGGGAAGAACACCGGUGGCGAAGGCGGCGAGCUGGUCCAUUACUGACGCUGAGGCGCGACAGCGUGGGGGAGCAAACGGG
rnacentral:rRNA from 1 species